GGCGUAUGAUGGCGCGGAGCUGUGUAGUGCGUGUUCCAGGGCGUGGUCUGGCCGGGAGGUGGAGGUCUUGGGCGGCACAUCCCUCCCCUCCCCGGGUGUUUCAGAGAGAAGCAGAAGGGUGUUCUCUCCCAGGAUAGAUCUACCCAGAACCCAGCUGCCCUUGGAAGGAGUGAUCUGAGUUCCCAACCCAGGUGAUUGUCACUGAGACUGAAAGUAUUGCACAUAUUGACUUCCAAUUGAAUGCAUUUCACCCUAUAAUAAUAAUUCAGCCUGCAAUACCAUGGAAAUGUCUACCAUUCCUACAUCACAACUAUCCCUCUAGAGAAACCAACUCUUGGAUGGAUGCCCUUGGUGCCAGAAGAGCAGAGCACGGAAAGCCACAGCUCGGUCCCUGCGUUUCAGACUCCUCUUUAUACCAACACAGUCUAUGGGUGUUCCUUUGCUGCC